GCGCCAUGUAAGCGACCGGACACCGUGACGAGCACGGGAAGAGCUCGGGAAGACUCGAGGAGCGCGGAGGCGCGCGCAGGACUCACCGAGACACAUGGACGUGAGAGAGAGCACACUGUCACUUUUGCAGAAUGACAGUCUCUCUAAACAUAUUCUCCUUUCAUGGUGUUUGCACAAACUCCUCUCAUCACCCUUCCUUCUUCUCAGCUUCCUCUGACGAGCCCCUUGCACACCCCCACCUCAGGGAGCUGGAGGGAGGCUUCUGCGAGAAGCUCUUCUCUCCAUCUGCUCAUCCUCGUCAUGCUUCAUAAAGCCACCCCCUUCUGAUCUCCACACCCCCUGCUCCCCCAGCACACAUGGAGAGAUGAUGAGUGAUCUGCUCUCCGGAUGCUUUAGCGAGACAAUGCUGCACCACAAUGUUCAACAUCAUCAAUCUCUCCAGACAUCCAUCACCCAAACAAUAAAGCGAAUGGACAGAGGCCAUUCUCUGUGGGCUCUCGGGUUGUACACUUUCCUUCUUUUUUUCUCCUUUCUCUCCAUUUAAAAAAAAAACAAACAUUUUUCUCUUUUUGUCAUUAGCAGUAAUUGGAAGCACUACCGUGAGGGGAAGAACGGACCCAAAUCCAGUUUAGAAACGGAGGCCUCACCAGUGUUUGCCCAGCGUGACCAAGCCCAUGACUGUCACUUCUGUAAACAAAUGUAGCCUCUGUUUAUUCAAGUUCAUCCUUUUCGGUUUGGGACUGAUGUGCUGUAGAACUCUUUAGAAGCAACUGCUGGUGGAAUUCCAAAGACAAGAGCUGUGUUGUAUUCAAAAGAAGGAUGGGCCAAAGAAACACCUUCCAAACAUAUUUGUAAACUAUUCUCAAAACAAACCAGCACUGCAACAUUAUCACGUUAUUAUUCUUUGCUGAAUAUAAGCGGUUGCUGCUCAUAAGGUAUGUGCUUUACUAGAAACACCUUUAUACACUGGAAACUUCAGUAAAACCAUCUUAUAGUCUGUGUCACCCCAUUCAGUCAGUCAGCAUCUUUUCAUCACUGAUGAGUAUUAUUGGCUCCCUGUUGCUGAAUGGCAA